UGCCAAAACAGAAAAGGAUAAAACCUCAAA
rnacentral:piRNA from 1 species